rnacentral:rRNA from 3 species
GUGCUGAAAGCAUCUAAGCACGAAACUUGCCCCGAGAUGAGUUCUCCCUGAGACUUUAAGUCUCCUGAAGGAACGUUGAAGACGACGACGUUGAUAGGCCGGGUGUGUAAGCGCAGCGAUGCGUUGAGCUAACCGGUACUAAUGAACCGUGAGGCUUAACCUU